rnacentral:rRNA from 1 species
UACGAAGGGGGCUAGCGUUGCUCGGAAUCACUGGGCGUAAAGGGUGCGUAGGCGGGUCUUAAGUCAGGGGUGAAAUCCUGGAGCUCAACUCCAGAACUGCCUUUGAUACUGGCGAUCUUGAGUCCGGGAGAGGUGAGUGGAACUGCGAGUGUAGAGGUGAAAUUCGUAGAUAUUCGCAAGAACACCAGUGGCGAAGGCGGACUCACUGGCCCGG